UACGGAGGGAGCUAGCGUUGUUCGGAAUUACUGGGCGUAAAGCGCGCGUAGGCGGCUUUGUAAGUUAGAGGUGAAAGCCCGGAGCUCAACUCCGGAACUGCUUUUAAAACUGCAUCGCUUGAAUCCAGGAGAGGUGAGUGGAAUUCCGAGUGUAGAGGUGAAAUUCGUAGAUAUUCGGAAGAACACCAGUGGCGAAGGCGGCUCACUGGACUGGUAUUGACGCUGAGGUGCGAAAGCGUGGGGAGCAAACAGG
rnacentral:rRNA from 1 species